rnacentral:lncRNA from 1 species
GGAAGCUUUGGGGAAAGCGGAGGAAGCAAGCCCGGGGCGAAGGGGAGUGGUGGUGCUCGCUGAGGGAGAGGAGAGACGCCACAGUCUCGGAGUUGGGACUAGAGGGAGUUAGAAUGAGGCGAAGAACACCUUUUUCCACAGCUCGGGCACUUACCGCUUAGAACUCCUUGGAAGCAAAGACUGGUUACCAUAGCGACCGCAUCCGGGAGGGCGGAGCGCUCCUUGCCAGCGGUGCCUCGGCCACAAGGGCCCGACUAGAAAUGUGGUCGGGACAGGGCAAUGACUUCCGGUGGAAGGAGAAAUCGGUUCCGGGUUUUGGCCGAGUGCGGGCGAGGUGUAGGUGAUAAAGACUGUAUGAAGUUUGCUGAUCUGAGAAGGUCCACUUCUUGUUCAAUGGAUGAUGGCAUUUGAGCAGAUACCCAAAAAGGAUUGGUACAGCAUUCUGGGGGCAGACCCAUCUGCAAGUGUGUCAGACCUAAAACAAAAGUAUCAAAAACUCGUAUUAAUGGGAAAGCACCUUCGCGUGGCUUUCUCUUCGCCUUGGCUGCCUGCUGGCUCCGCAGGUUCCAGAGAGUGUGAUCAUCAGCCGAGACGCUGUGUCCCCCUCAAGCAACAACACAGCACUUCUUUGAGCCAAAGAAAUAAAAGGAAUAAAAAUGCACUUUCCAAAGGGACUGAUCUUAGCAAUUUGAAAGGAAAGUUUCCGAAAAUCAGCAGAGUAUCGGCUGUGGAGGGAAAGUAUCUGUUUGGGGAAACGGCCAGAAGAAUUAGACCUUUCGUUUCUAUCCGUUAAUCAUUUACAAUUUUACGUCGAGGCAGAUAAACAAGCUCCACCACGAAGAGACAAGAAAGCUGGCGAGCAUCACAGGAACAUUUACAAGUUCGAAGUCUAGAGAUCAGUCUACGUAGCCAAUGUGAUCGAUUUCAAGGGUUCCGUUUCCCCCACAGUGACGGCCUAGGCUUGAAGGUGAUGUGGGGACAACAGCAUGAUUUCAGGAUUCCUCUUGCGUGGCUCUCAGCUCUUGCUAAGCUGCCAGCCCUUCUGACACUUAACGAUAGAGCUCUUUGUCUUCCACACAUUUCUCCUUGGCUUUUCCUCCAUCCUUACAAUCUUUGAUCACUUAAUCUCUUUAGUUUAAAAAAA